ACGGAAGGCAGCAGUGGGGAAUCUUGCACAAUGGGGGAAACCCUGAUGCAGCGAUGCCGCGUGGAGGAAGAAGGUUUUCGGAUUGUAAACUCCUGUCUUAAAGGACGAUAAUGACGGUACUUUAGGAGGAAGCUCCGGCUAACUACGUGCCAGCAGCCGCGGUAAUACGUAGGGAGCGAGCGUUGUCCGGAAUUACUGGGUGUAAAGGGAGCGUAGGCGGGCCUGCAAGUCAGAUGUGAAAUGCCGGGGCUUAACCCCGGAGCUGCAUUUGAAACUGUGGUUCUUGAGUGAAGUAGAGGCAAGCGGAAUUCCUGGUGUAGCGGUGAAAUGCGUAGAUAUCAGGAGGAACACCGGUGGCGAAGGCGGCUUGCUGGACUUUAACUGACGCUGAGGCACGAAAGCGUGGGUAGCAAACAGGAUUAGAUACCCUGGUA
rnacentral:rRNA from 1 species